AUUGAACGCUGGCGGCAGGCCUAACACAUGCAAGUCGAGCGAGCGGCGGACGGGUGAGUAAUGUCUGGGAAACUGCCUGAUGGAGGGGGAUAACUACUGGAAACGGUAGCUACUACCGCAUACCAUCAGAUGUGCCCAUAUGGGAUUAGCUAGUAGGUGGGGUAAUGGCUCACCUAGGCAACGCUCCCUAGCUGGUCUGAGAGGAUGACCAGCAACACUGGAACUGAGACACGGUCCAGACUCCUACGGGAGGCAGCAGGGGGGAAGAUUGCACAAUGGGCGCAAGCCUGAUGCAGCCAUGCCGCGUGUAUGAAGAAGGCCUUCGGGUUGGAAAGUACUUGCAGCGAGGAGGCGUGACUCGCAGAAGAAGCACCGGCUAACUCCGUGCCAGCAGCCGCGGUAAUAC
rnacentral:rRNA from 1 species